AGAUAUUUGUAGUCAGCUGUGCCAGUUUAUAUUCUGUGGUAGGCAAAAUAAUAGUCCACAAUGAUGUCCAUUCCUCAUUCUCAGUAUCUGUGAACAGGUCACGUUAGAUGGCAAAGGGGGAUUUAGACUGCAGUCGGAAUGAAAGUUGCUAAUAUGCUGACCUUGAAAUAAACAGAUUAGCUGAGAUCUAUUUAGGUGAACCCAGUAUAACCAUCAAGGUCCUUAAAUGAAGAUGAGUCAGAACCAGAAGGAUGUCAUCAUGGGAAAAACUUGACUGGUCAUUGCUAUCUUUGAAGAUGGAUAAGAGCCAGGAGCCAAAGAAUGCCUGCAGCCUCUAGAAGCUGGGAAAAAAAAAAAAAAAAAAAAAAAAAAAAAAAAGAAGGAAAAGGAUUCUGUCCUCGAGCUUCCAGAAGGAACACAGCUCUGUAGACAGUGAUUUUAGCUCAGAGACCCAUUUUGGACUCUGACCUCCAGAACUGUAAGAUAAUAAAUUUGUGUUGUUUUUCAGCCACUAAGUUUGUGCCAGUUUGUCACAGCAGCAACAGGAUACUAACCACAAUGUGACCUCCCUAAAUUCCCAGGGCAUACGGAAGUUCCAGGGCCAGGGACCAAACCAAACCAAGCAGUGACAAUGCAGAAUCCUUAACCAGGGAACUCCUCAUUUUGAAAAUAUUGAAUAAAACACAUCUUCCUCAUUUUUACUCCUUUAAAAAAAAAAAGCUAAUUUUACCACUUAUUUUCUUUCUUUCUUUUCUUUCUUUCUUUUUUUUUUUUUUUUUUUUUUUUUAAUUAGGGCCACACCUACAGCAUACGGAAGUUCCCAGGCUAGGGGCUGAAUCAGAGCUACCACUACUGGCCUAUGCCACAACCACAGCAAUGCCAGAUCCAGGCUUUGUCUGUGACAUACACCACAGCACACAGCAACACCAGAUCCUUAACGCACUGAGCAAGGCCAGGCAUUGAACCCGCAUCCUCAUAGAUAAUAGUUGGGUUUGUUACAACUGAGCCACAGUGGGAACUCCCUACCACUUAUUUUCA
rnacentral:lncRNA from 1 species